GUGCUUGCUUCGGCAGCACAUCUACUAAAAUUGGAACGAUACAGGAUUAGCAUGGCCCCUGCACAAAGAUGACAGAAAAAGAAAGAAAGAAAGGAAAGAAAGGA